UCUCUUGAUCUCCCUCUCCAUUGAUCUCUCUCUCCCGAUCUCAACCCUCCCCCCUCUCUCGAUACGAACGGUUCUGAUCAUUGAACCAUUCUGCAUGUGGGCCCAGUGACGGUGACAUACACAUCAGUCGUGACGAGGGUUUUAUGUUAUUCUAGGGCAGAAGGGGCUGAGAUGCAAUUGGGGAGAGCUGUUAUAUGCCGUAGUUCUGAAUAUGCCUGCAGGUUCUCUGCAGGUUGCCAGCUCAAUCUCAGCCCUACAUCAAAUGAUGGUCUCAUAGUACGGUUCUGAUCAUCCGUUUAGUGGCUGUUUGCUGUCAGUGCAUGGUUUGGACGAUGGGAAGUCCACGUAUGAAAUUACAGAAGUGCCAUUUAAAUUGGGUUUUGUUUGGGAGAAGUCCAGGAUUGCAGAGCAUUAUAAUGCUCUGUUCUACUAGAUGCUUUAGGAUAUGUGGACAGUCAAAUCAGUCAAUUUGUACCGUCCAUUUAGCAGAUCCCAUGACGUAUUGGUCACAUCGCGAAAAUCUUAGGGAUCGGAUGAUUCUAACCAUCUAAUCAUGGCCUAUGAAAGAUGGACGGUUAAUAUUGUUUAUGGUUGUAACAAUAUUAGGGCGUUACAAUCACGGAUUGGUUGUAACAGUUCUAAGAAUCACUUUGAUUAGAUGAUCCUAACCAUCUCAUCCAUGGCUUGGGGGAAUACAUGGCUAUAGGAAAGGUUGAUGUUUGGUGGGCAGCUGAUCAAAAAACUUAUGCCAAUCUACCAUUUAAAAGCCGUCU